rnacentral:sRNA from 1 species
UCCACUGCUGGACAUAGACCUCUCCAAU